rnacentral:rRNA from 1 species
ACUCCUACGGGAGGCAGCAGUGGGGAAUAUUGGACAAUGGGCGCAAGCCUGAUCCAGCCAUGCCGCGUGGGUGAAGAAGGCCUUCGGGUUGUAAAGCCCUUUUGUCCGGAAAGAAAAGCUUCGGGUUAAUACCCCGGGGUCCUGACGGUACCGGAAGAAUAAGCACCGGCUAACUUCGUGCCAGCAGCCGCGGUAAU